GUAUUAUUAUGAAUAUAAAGUUUAAAAUGAAUCGUCCGAACAGUUUUCGAAAAAAAUGUUUAUAAAAAUGACCUCGUGAAACAAAGCCCUCUUGAAUAACAAAAAUACCUAGUAUUUUAAGUAAGCAAUCUCUUAAUUUUAUUUUACAUGAAAAGAGCACAUAUUAAGGAUAAAAGGGAUGACAUUAGCAAAAACAUUAGUGAUCUUGAGAAGUUUUUUUUUCUAAACCGUAUGAAAUGAUUUAUCGAGUACUUACGCAUUGAUUGCGUUGGUGAUCGAUAAGCAGGUAUCGAGCACUGAUCACGUACUAGUCUCUAUCAUUUACGGAGACGCGACACGUUACCGUUUGUUUACGUCAGGUCUCUCAGGCGUAUCUCAUUUCUGAACCAGAUCCGGCUGACCACAGGCCGGCGUCGUUUUUCCGUUUUCUUCUGUUACGUUACACGCGCGUACCGUGUCAACGCCGACGCGGAAUAAGCGAAAAACAAAGGCAGAAGCGGAAAGAAGAGAUCGGGAGCGCGACAAUGUCGAAGAAUGGUGGAGAAAAAUAUAGUAGAGUACAUUUCGUCUCGCCUCUAGUAUCAAGGUUUCCUCGAGUUAUUUAUGCAAAAUCGAAAAGUGUAAUAUGUAAUUUAAUUGCACUAACGCUGUGAUCGCGGUUAUCUUGAAAGGCAACUCAUGGCAAGAGAGAUAAAAAGCAUGUAACAUAAACAAGAACAUAAUAAAAUCUAACUCACGAGUUGAAUAAAUCGGAGAUUGAAUAGGGUGAACAUGCAGUGUGUAGUGUGGCUAAUCUACCGAUGGAACACGCGAAUAUUGAUUUUAAGAUAUCGGUGAGUCAAUAAGAUUGCAGAGUUGACCUAAAGAAAAUACAAUAUAGACGUAUAACAGAAUUGAAGAGUUUCUUACAAAAUCAAAUGUUCUUUUUUUAAUCUGAGUUAUGAUGAAAUUGUUCUCUAUGUCACAUCAUGAACAACUUUGUUUCAACAAAUCAAAUAAAAACGGAAAAUGUAAAUAUAACGUUUUUCAACAAAAAUUAAACAAAUCGAGAUUUUUUUUUGUUUUAUUUUUUUAAAUAAAUUUCUCAACACAUUAAGCAUAAAUUUACAGUGUAAAUCUUUGUUCGUAUAUGUAUUACAUUUUACAGAGAAAUUAAAAAGUUUUUGUUUUUGUGAGAGUAAAAUUUUAUAAAUAAAAAGUGAAAAGAUUAUUUGCUUUUUGUUUUAAAUGUUUUUUUUUUCUUUUAACUGAGUUUCGAAAUAUUAAUUAAAACAAUUACCAACUAUACUUAUUAAAUCCGCAGAAAAGUUAUUUAUACAAAAAAACGAUAAGGUUUUAGUUGUUUAAAAAUGUGAUUUUUAGGUUUGUUGGAUUUUUGGAUAUAGAAAACUCUUCAAUUAAUAUAGAAAUAACAUAAGUGUUGCGAGUAUUAUUACAGAAAUAUCAUAGAAAUAUAAAAAUUACGAUUGCACUGAGAAUAAAAGGGAUCCGACAGAUGCGGCAAGGGCCAAACAUCAUGCGUCGCGUUGAUUCGCGACGCCGCGCGCCUUGCAUCGAAAUCCCCGGAGCCGCCCUCUGUACGAACAUCGGGGAAAGUUUGCUGAAAAGAGAUCGGCUACAAACGGACGAAAGUAUUCCCUUGUGAAAGAAAGCAGAGAUGCAUUUUCGUGAACUAGGAUGCGUCACAUCAGAUUCCACGCGUUGCAUACGCAUUUUUUUUUCGCGCAUGCAACGUCGCCGCGCUCUCUGAGUCAUACCGAUUCUCCGAGUAGAAAAGUUCGUCACUAUUUACACGUAAUCGAUCUGCACGCAUCCCUUACGUAAUCCUAUUACAACGCCUAUAACUCACGUCACGGGGUUUGGGGUUCGAGAUAGCACAACGAUUGCGCAAAUCCUUCAAAUCGAUCGUCUUUUCGCAAUCGAAGAAUUAUCCUGUGAACGGCAGCGCGUACUUAUUCUUUCAUAGCUUGCAUUAUUUCUAUGUUUGUGCGAUAUGAAUAUUAUCAAUGUUUAAUAUAAAAAAAUAAAAUUUUAACAUAAUUUUUUAUAUCUAUUACUUUUUUUCUUUAAUAUUCUCUAAUAGACAUUUAUUUUCUUAUUUUUAUUAUUAUUGAAUAUUGAAACGACCAGGAGAAGCAAAAAAAAAACUUUGAUUUUAAAAUCUUCACCAAUGUGGAUAUUUUGAUACGAAAGCUUUUUCAACAUAUACAUACUUACAUAGUCCCUCUCUAUUCUAUUUUGAAUUUUUCAUGAUAAUGGCAUAAAAACAACUAACGAUAGUUUUUGCUUUAAUUAAAUUUAAAAGAAAACCAUUGAGAGAAGCGUAUCGAGAGGACGUGUAAAAACCCCCGCUUAUCGGUCUCAUUGAAAACGACGCGUGUUUUGCAACACGAACGAUAUAUACGCGUGAUUCACCCUCCCGCUCCAUUCAUUCUUACACCCUUACUACACCCGCGUGGCGGGAAAGCGCGCAGUCGCGUUGGCGGUGAGUACUUUGUUCUCCAAAUUGUUUCGUCGCAGUUCCGACGAGCCUUCGUUCCAGAUUCGCUCUAAUCACGAAGACCUGACUGGACAAAAGUGCAUUACGUGCCGCUGCACGUCAAAGCUUCAAUUUUGCGCGGAGCACUCCCGGCAAACGAAUAUUCUCAAAUAUGCAAUGUGAAAAAAAAAAGUAAAAAUGUAUGAGAAAGGUUUUUUUCUAUUAUUUGAAGAUUGUUUUGAUGUGAAAUCAAUUCUAAUAAUUUUAAUAACAAUCUAAUUUCGCACAGGUCAAAGACGUUGGUGACAAUCAAUAUUAAUCGAUAUUAAUUCAUUUAAACGAAUAAAUUAAGUAAAAUAAGUAUAAGCAAAUUUUAUUUUGACGAAAACUCGAUUUCGUUCGAUUGUCAAACAAGUAGUGGUCAAAGAAUCAAGCGCUGCAUGCAAGAGAAUCAAUGAGAAUAUAAAAAGAGAGAUGCAUUUACAAGGGAUAUUCUUAAUUUUUCAAACGUUCCCGAGACACUUUUCAGAUUUUACACGUACAUUCGACUCUUCUGAGACAUCACGUUCUUCGUCGCGUGCUGAAGUUUCUACUCCAUCCGAGGGAACACACUCUAGAAUUUUUAGAAAACGCGCAGAAACGGUUUACACAGAAAUUUGUAAUAUCAGCGUUGCAUUCACAUCGAGAUCGAUCUGCUGGAGAAAAUAACGACAAUUUGCUGCGUAAGACGCACGUUUUACUCGUGUCUCGCGCGCGUGACAGCGAACCCGCCGCUGAAUUACACAACGGUUUCUCUUGCUUGAGAGGGGGUGAAAACUCGGUUAACCGGAAGUGGCGCGUCGCCGCCGGCCGGAGGUGACACGCGGCGGACGCGCAUCAGCAAGGCGACGCGACACGGCACGGCGCGAUGCGACGACGCUAACGUGACAACGAGCGUAUACCACGGACACGACUGAUCGAGUGACCGAGGGGGUAGCAUCGCGGGGUAUACCCCUCCCCGUCACGCGCGGGAACACGCGCGCGGCCGCUUUAUGUAUAGAGUUACGCGUGUGUCCGGGCGCGGUGUACGUACUACUGUCGUACACCCGGAGGCUCGUCCCCCAUUUCGUUUCGAGAACACGAGGCGGUCGAGGGAAGAGAAGUGCGCGCUGCGACGGAGAGCGUGGCCCGCGUCCUUCUCUCUCCGUCCUACGACUUUCUUUUGGCCCCUCUCUCGUCCUCUCGCUCUAUCCUUUCGCUCCCCUAGCAAGAGCACCCCGCGCGCCCCCCUCCAACCCCCUUCGGCACGCUCUCGCGUGCGUGAAUCAUGCAUAUCGAUUUUCUUUCGUUGGAGUAAGCGAGGGCCGUGCGGUAGUCGCUCACGUAUGCCCGCCACCUUCCCCUUUCCCGUCUCUCUUUCUCUCUUGUCGCCCCCCCUUCCCCCUCUCCCUUUCUUUCUAACGGAGAGCCUGGGGGCCGUGUCGCGUCACGGACGAACCCCCUUCUGAAAACGCAUACGCGCGCAGUACCUGAUUCUUUUCGCACAAUGGCCCGUAUUCCCGUUUUCCUUCUGCCCCCUUGUUCCCUCUCUCUCUUCUUUCUCUUUGCUACCCUUGUCCCCUUCUCGUUACGUCGCACGAAGUCCUCGUCGCUUAUUUCCCCCUCUUUUCCCCUUGCACCUCCGACGCUUUAUCGCUUCUGCAACUCCCCCUCUUCCCGCGACGCUAUUUUGUGUUCCGGUAAAAUCCCCCUAUAGAGAUGCAUACAGAAAUUUGGAAAUGGAAAUCUCCGGGAUUAAUUCUAAACUGUGUAAUUUUACGUCGAUGUUUAAUAUGCUCUUUUAUUAUACAAGUGAUUUUUUUCACAAAUAAGAAAAAUACUUUCCCCAAAAGUCAGUUUUACCGUUACGGUAUCUUUCAUGACAAUUUGUUGUCAUAUUAAGGAAACCCUUCGCACAUUUUUUUACUUCUGCAUGUCGUAUUGAAAGACCAUGCUAGCUCAUCAAGUUCUAGUUAAGAGAGAAGCAGUACAAAGUACGAUGGGGGUUGCCCGUAGCGGAACCACUGAUCGCCCCCCUCGACCGGUCUUUCUUUCCCGAGCAUCCCUUUCUGUUCCCUCCCCCAUCUUCAUGACGGCCCGCCCUCUGCGUGCUUCUACGGCGAGCCCGGUAAUAAACUUCUUUUGUUUUCGAACACUUGUCCAUUCUUUACUUUCGCUUCUUAGUCGACGACAAAGCAAACGCGCCUGAUGAGGCCGAACAAUCGAACCCGUUUUGAAUCGGCGGUCGGCUCUGUGCUUAAAUAAUCUCGAAACCAGAAACAUUCACUUAGCUCCGAUUUAUCGUAGCAUCGGUGCAGACUCAAUUAUUGUUCUAACUUGAGGCAAAAAAGUAGUUUAGAAAUUUGAUGGUGUCACUACUAAAACAUUCUCUUAAAAACUCGAGAAGAUUACUUAGCUUUAAUUUUCGCAACUUUUAAGAGUAAUUUUUAAUUGUACUUGCACAAAUUUUAUCGAUAAUUUCUCUAAAACGAAUUUUCCUAAUUCUCUAUAGAACACAUUUUAUUGUAUAAUACGUAUACAUAAUCAAUGUAAAAAUACAAUGAUUUGAUUAAAAAAAAAAAA